rnacentral:miRNA from 6 species
CGAAUCAUUAUUUGCUGCUCUA